CCUACGGGGGGCUGCAGUGGGGAAUAUUGGACAAUGGGCGAAAGCCUGAUCCAGCCAUGCCGCGUGUGUGAAGAAGGCCUUCGGGUUGUAAAGCACUUUCAGUGGGGAAGAAAGCCUUGGGGCUAAUACCCUCGAGGAAGGACAUCACCCACAGAAGAAGCACCGGCUAACUCCGUGCCAGCAGCCGCGGUAAUACGGAGGGUGCGAGCGUUAAUCGGAAUUACUGGGCGUAAAGCGCGCGUAGGCGGUCUGAUAAGCCGGUUGUGAAAGCCCCGGGCUCAACCUGGGAACGGCAUCCGGGACUGUCAGGCUAGAGUGCAGGAGAGGAAGGUAGAAUUCCCGGUGUAGCGGUGAAAUGCGUAGAGAUCGGGAGGAAUACCAGUGGCGAAGGCGGCCUUCUGGACUGACACUGACGCUGAGGUGCGAAAGCGUGGGUAGCCAACAGGAUUAGAUACCCCGGUAGU
rnacentral:rRNA from 1 species